GGAGAGAUGCCAGAGUGGUUGAAUGGGGCGGUCUCGAAAACCGUUGUUCGUGCGAACGGACCCAGGGUUCGAAUCCCUGUCUCUCCG
rnacentral:tRNA from 1 species